CUCAAGUUGCCACAGAGAAUCUCUGUGGCUGGAUAAUCACUCUGGGACAUCUUAGAAUUAAUAAACAUGCCCUAUUUUUUCUACCUUUGUUAAGACACAAAGGCCCAGGAGAAUGACAUCAGUUGGCAUGUGGCCCCUUAGGGAUCUUGGGGAAUGAAAGAGAGGAUAUGACAGAAAAAAAUCUUCCAUAGGGUUUGAAUUCAGUAUCCCUAGAAGACUGAGUAAAGAUCAUUCCUGAAGAGGAAACUGAGGCCCUAUUCAAAGAGUGGAAAGAGUAGAUACUUUGAAGCCACCCCCCCGCAAAAAAAAAAAAAAAAAAAAGACACAACGUCACUAUGAUGAGUAAAGGUGUCACAGGAAAUAGACAAACCACAUAGAAACUGAUAGAUUUAAUGAUAUGCUUGAAAAAACUUUUCCUGAUUUGCAAAACUACUUUAUUCUGUAAAUUAAGAGAGAACAUUUAGAACUACCAAGAUCAGAGGAAACAUUUUACUAGUAUGUUUUAUGUAUGUGAACUAGAAAAACAAAAAAAACAACUCCUGGGUGCUAAAACCAUUGAAGAACUAGCUGUCAAUGAAUGAAGGUCACAAAGACAUCUGAUCUAACACAGGGGAAACAUACAUAAUGGAUCCUUAUAUUAAAUCAGUUUACUCCGCCAAGAUACCCUUCAUUUCAAAGGUGGCAAAAGUAUUGUUACCCAAAUUCACCAAAAGAAAUCAACUGCUCCAUACACCACUACAGAAGAUUGCUGAAGGACUUCCUGAAAAGAGAAGUAGCUAAUGCCACUAAGUUUAGGAAUGUCAAGGGGAAAACCAUAUAGGAAACUGAUAGGAUUAUGGAGUGGAGAAGAGAGAAAUAAGAUUGAGAAUAUGAGUUUAGUGGUAGAAAGAUUCACUCUUUUCUCAUAAUAGGAUUCAGACAUUUGGGGUACUACGGUUCUAGCCAUUAAUUUUGUAGAGUUUGAUUAGUGACUAAUAAUUAUAAAAAUGUUUAGAAAUCCCUUGGAAACUCAGGAUGCAUUGAUGGGGUUCCCUUUCAAACUCAAUAUCUGCCACCAUCUACGAGAAUAAAGUCGUCUUCCAGACCAUCCACCCAUCUCCUGCCUUAUUCUGCAAAGAAAUUAAAGUGACUUACAGUAAAUGUGCCUAAUACACACAGAGCUGUUGAAAACAGAGAAUGAAGUCAGAAUAUUUUUUUAAUUAAUGUUUUUAUUUCCAUUCCAGUUAGUUAACAUACAGUGUUAUAUUAGUUUCAGGUGUACAAUGUAGUAAUUCAACACUUCCAUACAUCACCCAGUGCUCAUCAUGAUAAGUGCUGUUCUUAAUUCCCAUCAUCUAUUUCACCCAUCCCCCACCCCUCCCCUCUGCUAACUAUCACAUUGUUCUCUAUAAUUAAGAGUUCUUUUUUGUAUCUCUCUCUCUUACCGCUUUUUUAUAAACACUAAAAAUUGGAUAAUGUAAAAUAACCCACAUGUCACCUUAUACAUACUAAAUUCUCCAUAAAAUGUAGAACUAUCUGGUAUAAACAGGAAAAAAAAUCCAGCAGAAAUACAUUAAUACCCAUCUCCCCAAGUCCUGCCUAAAUUGUAAAAAUUGGGUUUAGAUUUAUAUCCUCCUCUCUGGAUAGUAAUUCAAUUAUGGUCUCUAAUAAAGUUGAUUUGAAUCCAGAAAGCAGAAAUAUCAAUAGAGGGCAUAAUUGCAAAAACACACACACAAAAAGGAUUGAAAAAAAGUCAUAAAACUAUAAGAUCAAAAUAUAUUAAGCCUAUGCAAUUAAUAAAUAACGGAUGUGAGCAGUACAGUUUAAAAGGAGGCCUGAAAUAAUGGCAUAAUGAAAUAGAAAAAUUAAGUAAUUGAAUUCUUGAAGAAUAUUUAUUAUAUGUUACAGACCAUAAAAUUUUUUUAGUAAGAUAUAUGUGUAAUGCCACAGUCAAACUGUAACACUGGGGGGCACCUGGGUGACUCGGUCGGUUAAGUGUCCAACUUCAGCUCAGGUCAUGCUCUCAUGAUUUGAGAGUUCAAGUCCCAUGUGGGUCUCCCUGCUGACAGCACAGAGCCUGCUUUGGAUCCUCUGCCUUCCUCUCUAUCCUUCCCCUGCUGGUUCUCUUUCUGUCUCAAAAUCAAUAAAGCUUUUAAAAAAUAUAUAAGAUUGAGCAUAAAUGAUACACAUAUUUAAAAUGGUGAAACCGCUUGAAAAUUUUUAAAUCUCUUAACUGGAUCAGGGAAUGAAUCCAUAAUAUUAAAAUAGACUACUCAACAAACAACUAAAGUAUAAGCAUCCCCUUUAAAUUCGGUGGAAAGUAACCAAGGUUGUUCUUAGAAAAACACCUCAUUUUAAAUGUCUAUAGUAUGAAAAAAAUACUACAUGGUUAACUAAGUCUAUAUUAAUUAGCAGAAAAGAAAGGGAAAUAGCAAAAGUAAGAAUACUAAAUACAUUGUAAGAUGAGAAAAGGGUUGGAUUUCCAAAACUCCUUUUCAUCAAUAUUCUGAGAAAAAGUUUUGGGGGAAGAACUUGGUAACAGAAAGACCCAUGUUGGAGGAGGAGGAGUUAGGGAGGCUAACAGGGAAGUGUUGGAUUGUUAGAUGAGUUAGGGUGCCAGCAGGAGAGCUCUCUCGUGGGUGUGUGUUUGAGUAGAGCUGCACCCUGAAGUGGUGUGGGAUUGGACGGCGAUGCAGAUAAAGCGGGGAGUCACAACAUGAGAGAAGUCGUGUUAUCUCUUCAGUGAUGCUGGUCGCAUUCCUGCCAGGCACCGCACACUGUUCCUUGCCUUGAGACAUACCUGAGAAUAAAAGCACCUCAAAUCCCUGCCCUGUGGAUUUUAUCUUCUGGCGAGGAAACGUAGCUCUUCUAAACCAAAACAGUGACACUUGAACAGACCUGUAAGAAAAAAGGUUUGUGUUUUUGGUUUGUUAGUUUUGUUUUUGCAAUGAUAGGAUAACAAGGCAGAAAACGGACUUAAGGAUAUCCACAUGACCCGACCAUAGCUCCAGCUUCUUAGCCUUUCUGUCAGUCUUGCACUUUCACACCAUAUAAGGAUGUAACCAUGCCACACAGCCCUUCCGGCAAACCUCCACUGGUCCUUGUGACUUUGUAAGUUGAGUCUUUUUGAUUCUGCUUACAGAGCCUUUAAUAAUCUGGUCUCAGCUUAUCUUUUCUUGUUCUGUUCAUUGUGCCCCUCACACACCUUCCUCUGUAACUACAAUGUGCUUUUUUUUUUCCUUCCUAAAAUACUCCAAGCACAUCUGUGCACUUUUUAUAUCCACACUUGCUAUCCCCAGAAUGGCUCUCCCACCUCCCCCAACCUAGAUAUGGCCCUUCAGUGAGGCCCUCCCUGACCCGACUGCUGGUUCCACUUCUACAAGGAGGAGUCCAAGACUCCCUUCCUGCAUCCUCUGCACAUGCUGUUACCGCUUGUUGUUCCUGGUCCUCUUACUCCUCCACCGUCCCUUUCCCCAGUAGAAUCUGUGUAACUCAAAAAUAAGGAUUAAGUUUCUGCUGUUUUUAUAUCCCUUUGCUGAACACUGUGUGUCUAGCACUAGAAAAUAUUUAGUAAAUGUUUCUGACUAAACCUUUAUCAGGUCUUCUGUGACUUUUAUUUUUUUAAAACCCAACAGAAAAUUCUUCUAAUUUUAAAGCAAAAUCUGUGCAUUGAUAAUGUAAAUAAGCAAAUGGCCUGGAAGAUUGAGGCAGUGUGUUGAGACAGAAAGAAUAUAUAACAAGGUGGCUGAAAAUAUGCACAAUCUCUGAUCCCCUGUGUAAGCCCCCACAGCUGUACCCCACUCCCCACCUCAACCCCUCCCACUGAUCCUGGCAGAACAGCUCGCUUUUUUUUUUUAAGAGAAAGUUUUGAAAACCAGUGAGCUAGAGACUACAUCGAAAUUUAAUUAAUUACUAAGUAUCGUUGGUCAUUUAUGGUGGACCUUUAAAACAGAAUAGACAUUAGAACAUUUUGUGAAAUUGUAAACAUGAAGAAAUUAUAAAAGGUAAAUGGGAAAGGAAUUGUGCAAUGUAUAUUUGCUUUAGUUUGAGGAAAUGAUCCAGCUAAAACUUUCUUAGCCAUUUAAUGGUACACUUAUGCUACUUUUCUGAAAAAGAACAAUUUUAAUCAUGUUUACUAAAGGCUAUUGAUUGUUUCCUUAUGUUAUUUUGUACUGAUGUAUUUAACCUUAUGCUUCUUAGUUUAGGUUGAUAUUUACAUAUACUUUAGGUAUUAAAUUUACUGUUUAGCAUUUAUUAUUGAAUUUUUUACAAAAGAAAGGAAUAUGAUAUAGUGAACAUCAGUUUUCACUUAAAAAGUUUCAAUGUGACAUUAGAGUAUAGUAAUUUCGCUUAUUUGUUAAUUAGAUUUCCAUGGUUAAUGAGUUAUAAUCAUCUCUCAUUGAGUAUUUUAUUAUGAUUGGAACUUUAAUAUGUACUUUAAAAGAGCUAGGAGUGGGGCGUCUGGGUGGCUCAGUUAAGCAUCCGACUUUGGCUCAGGUCAUGAUCUCACAGUCUGUGAGUUAGACCCCUGCGUCAGGCUCUAUGCUGUCAGAGCCUGGAGCUCUGGAGCCUGCUUGGGAUUCGUAUCUCCCUCUCUCUCUGCCCCUCCCCCAUUCACGCUCUGUCUCUCUCUGUCUUGCAAAAAAUGAAUAAACGUUAAAAAAAAAUUAUAAAACAGCUAGGAGUAUAUGGAAUUGAUUAUAAAUAAUAUACAUUUUAGUUAAAUGAAGUGACUACAUUUUUUUGUCCUAGAGUGAAUUGCUGAAAUCAUAUAUACUCCUUAACUCAGGUUUGCUAUAUGUGUUUAUCUCUGUAUAAAAAUCUAUCCUAUGUUUAUAGUGGUUUGCAAAAGCACAGAAAUCUUAUCAGUAAGAACUUUCUCUCUACAAUUCCUGAAAGUAGUUCUACAGUUUGCUAAUAAUUCCAGCUCUAAAACUUAUUCAUACUAAUGUAUAAGUGGCAGAAGCUGGUCUGAUUUCUCUGAUUGUAAACCAAACAAGAAAGGUUGGCACCCAAAGAAAAGGGAAAGUCAGAAAAUUAACUUGUUUCUUUUUUGUGUUUUAAGUAAACUCUACCCCCAAGGAGGGGCUCAAACUCACGACCUCAAGAUCGAGGUGCACUCCCUACCAUCUGAGCCAGUCAGGCACCCCUAACUUAUUUCUUAAUGAAAUAUCUGUAUCCUUUUUAGUUUAGGUCAGUACUUUGCACACAGUAAGAAAACUGCAAAUUCACAUCAGUGAGUGUAGACCCAGGCUCUGAUGUAGUGACAGCCUCAAAAUCUCAGUGAUUUGAGACAGUAUGCUCUGUAUGUUCCACAUGUUCUUCCCAUGCUAUAUGCUGUGCCCAUGACUCUGUGUCUCAUCAUCCACCCCCCCCCCCCACCCCAGAGCCCAGACUGAUGGAGCAGCUGCCAUCUAAUCAUUUCCAUUUGCCAAGAUGGGAGUCAGGAAGUUGUGUCUCAUCAUCCACCCUCCAGAGCCCAGACUGAUGGAGCAACUGUCAUCUAAUCAUUUCCAUUUGCCAAGAUAGGAGUCAGGAAGUUGGAGAGUGGAGUUGGCAAAAGAGAAUCUAGAAAAUGCACACUGGCUUGUAAUGCAUCUAUUGGAAAGACACCUGUUAUUUCAGCCCACAUCUCAUUGGCCAGAGCAAGUCACAUGGCCACUGUAACUUAAAAGGUUGGGGGAGGGGAUGCAUAGUAUCACUGUAUCCCCAGGAGGAAAUUUUAGUGAACAGUGUUAAUGACUGCCACAGUGGCCACUGACUUGAGUUAAAAUGUAUAGCCUUCCUGACCACCAGGAGUAGCAGAAGACAGGGAUUUGCGAGAAGAGAGGAACUUUUCCAAGGAUCCCCAAACCAUAAUCCAUCUGUACUGCUAGGAAGAAACUUCCCCCCUGUGGCAUCAAGGUAGUAAGUGGAGGGUUGUGCCUUGGGAUAGGAAUUCUCAUCUUCAGGAACUUUUCAAGUAAAAGGCUACCUGUUAGCAUUAGUCUACAAAGAUCUGUUUCUCCAAGAAGUAUCUUCUAUUGUAGACCUCUCGCCUAACUUUCCAGAUUUUAAAAAUAAAGUUGACAAACAGACAUAAAGUACUCUAUCGAAAAGGAAUGUCUGUCACCACUAUUGUCGUUGUCUGAUGUGAGAGUGAAUCGUUGCUUUUUGUCAGCACCCUAUUGUGUUGACCAGACAUCGAGGACCUGGUGCUCUUCCUUCAACCGCUUUCUCUUUGACUUAAGUGUUCCCAGGCCAGUCGUUUCUGGUUUUACAGAAGUCUAAUAAAAGAAAUGAGGUAAUAUAUUGAUAUUUAUGUUGAAUCAUUUCACAAUUCACAAUGUCUGUUAAAACCAGUAUUCCAAGUCAUUUUUACUGUAUGAAUCACAUCAACCCGGAUUUCUAGUACCAGGGUGUGUGUGUGUAUGUGCGUGUGUGUGUGUGUUUAAACAAAAGUUGUAUUUUUCCAGGAUAUCCUUUGUAUUCUUUCCUCUUUGAAAUUGUGGUGUCCUUUAGAAGGGUACCAAGAGGUAGCUGUAGCAAAGAAUUUAAAAUUUAGUAGGGCUAGUAGAAAAUUCCUCAGAAUAGUAGUAAUUUGCCAUCUGGCAAGUUCACUUAUUUACUGAAUCAGCAGAUGCACAUGGAAUACCUGCUUUGAGGCACUGCACUUGGUGCUGCAGAAACAACAAACAAGGGAACGACAGUCUCUGUUGACAAAUAUUAAUCAUUUAGAUUUCACAACAACCCUAUAAAAUAAGAAUAGGUAUUGUUUUUAUUCUCAUUUUAUGAAGGAAGAAACAGAGCAUAGGUUGUUAAGUAACUUGCUCAAAAGCAUGCAAAGUGGCAGAGCUGGGCUUCAAACUCAGACAUUCUGGCUACAAGAUACCAAGUAACAGCAAGACAUUAGGGAUCUCAAACAUACAAGAUAGAUGUAGUAGGCUAUAGCCUGAACAGAUGAGUCAUCAACAGCUAAAUGACCGUAGAAGGAAUAGAAGGGGAAGGGGUUGCCCAUAGCAUAUAAUAGGUUGAGAAAAGGAGGCCUUAACAUUUAAGCAUUAGUGAGAAGAAGGACUAGAGAAGGAGACUGAGAUGCGGUGGGCCCAGAAGUAGGAGGAAAACCAGUAGAAUGUGAUUAGCCAAGACAAAAUAGUAUUUUGAAAAAAUAAGUCUUCAGCUGUGUCAAAGGCUGCUGCUAGGGCAAAUUGUUACAAGGACUGAAAAGUAUCUUUGUUACAUAGCAAUACAGAGGUCAUAGGUGACUUUACUGAGAGUAUUUUGAUAGAGUAAUAGCGUAGAAUCGAAAUUAUCUUUCAUUUAAGAGGAGACAGUCUUUAAGAAGGUGGAGGAAGAUAGGAUUCAGAGGACAGAUGACCUUAGGAAGGGAUCCUUCCUCCAUUGCAGACUGAGAGUAGAGGAGAAAACAUGUCAGUGACUCUGUAGAUUUGAUGGGCCAUCUGAUGGCCCCUGUUAACUAUACGAAGAAGUAGAAGACAAGGACAUCUGCCUAGACUUGAAGAGAGAACAUAUGUUGAGUGUAUAUAAUAUAGAAUUGUCAUUCUAGAGACAGUUGACUAGAAACAUGGUAGAGUGUCUAGGUUGGUGACCAUGAAUUCACGAUGGCAUCAGUCUUCCUAGGUUCCCAGGUAUAUAUAUUGCUCAGUAGCUCAUAUACAAGGAGGAGAAGGUAGGUGGUUGGUUUUAGUUGGGUUUUACCAGGCAGAAGUGACAGAGAAAAAGAAAUGCAUGGGUUCUGUGCUAUUGGCAAAAAUAUUAUUGAAAUUACAGACUACACUGUCCAAAACGAGUAUAAGGCAGUAUGAAAAAAAGCAGGUGAGUGAUGGUUAGAAAAUGGACUGGUUGAAUUGCCCAAAGUUUAGUUACAGUAGAACAGGAGUAGCAGUAAUUUACAGGUGACUGAAAGGUCUGAAAGUAAAGGCUAUAUAGUGGGAUGGGUGAAUAAGGGAUUUUAAAAAUGAAGGGGUUUUGAGUGAUGUCAUAAUCUAGGAUAAUAUCACAAGACUAAGUGGUUAAGGUGGGAUUUGCCAGAGUCUAUCUGCAUGCCUGACUAUGCAAUACAUUUUGACUGAAAAAGUAUAAUGUAAAAAUCGGUCUUUAAAAAAAACUGCCAAGCAUCAGUGAAUUUUUUAAAUUUGAUAAAGUAUAAACACUGUUUACAUGGUAUUCAUAAAUGUGUAUGAAAAUAUGCACUGAACAAAGGUCACUGUUUAAACAAAAAACGAGGGAAGUAUUCACACAGUCUGAAAUUUAAAUAUAAGAUUGUUGGACAAAUAUUCAUGACUCUAGAGCCUUAAGAAAUUAGUACAGAUGAUUAGAGUUGGCAGUAGAUAUGUAAACAACACAUAUUAGCUAAUUACUUGGGUUUAAUGCAUCUGUAUACCUAUGCAGAGCUGUUUCUUUUAAGCUACAACUAGAUGAAAUUUUACCUGUGAUAAAUACAGUAAAUUUGAUUGUGUGAUGUGAAUUUGUUUUGGGUUUUCUUUAAAAAUUACACCUUACCUAGUAUAUGAAACUAUUUUAUUUACAAAAAUUUGCUUUGGCAAAAAUUUUGUGGUUUGGGAUUUAGGUAUUAUCCUAGUCCAUUUGGGAUGCUGCAACAGAAUACCAUAGACACAUAGCUUACAAACAACAAACAUUUAUUUCUCCAAGUUCUGGAGACUCAGAAGUCCAAGGUCAAGGUCCUGGAAGAUUUACUGUCUGGUGAGAACCAAUUUUCAGGUUCACGGGUAGCUAUCUUUUCCAUGUGUCCUCACAUGGCAAAAGGGAUGAAGGAGCUUUUGGGGGCCUCUUUUAGAAGGUCACUAAUUCCAUUCAUGGGGACUCUAUCCUCAAGACCUAAUCACCUCCCAAGUCCCUACUUCUAAACACCAUCACAUUGGGUAUUAGGACUUCACAAAUGAAUUUUGGGAGGACACAAACAUUCAGUUUGUAGCAGGUGCCUUUUCAAUAACUCCUCUGAAGAUUUCAUUUAUAAAGCUUUCUUGUGUUACCUUUUUAUGAUAUAGGUUUAUAGAUUAUGUAUUUUUUUCAGUUUUUUCUUUAAGAAAUUUUUGAAAAUAGUUCAUUGGCAAGUCUUAGGGUUAGCCAUUGUAGUAACUGAAUCCGUUUCUACUACAUUACAAAUUGUUUCUAAGAGAGAUCUGCUAUAUCUGAAUAUGCUACCAUUAAUUAUAUGCUCGGAAGCAAACAGUUCAUCUUAUAACUUAACUGAAAAUUCUUUUACAAUGAUGAUAAAAUAAAUGUAAGUCUUGAGGGUAAUGUUUAUUUUUAACUUAAUAAUUGAUCUUUAUUUUAAUUUGAGUUUUCCAAUUCCUCUAAAGCAGUACAAAUAGCGAUUGAUUCCAGGGUCCUGCAAAAUGAGGAAGUCGAAGAGUUUUAAUGGUAUAGGCAUAGAAUACAAGAAUUUUUUUCAUAGCACAUUAUUCUAAGCACUUUUGUUCUAUUUUAUUCUUGCCAUUAGGUAGAAGUUUAGAGUUAGACCAGAUAAGCAGAAUAGAUUGUCACAUUUAAGUUCCAUGUGGUUGAUGCAUUUACUUGUUUAAUCUUGUUUUAAUAGAUUAUUUUAAGUUCUUGAUAUAAUAAUAGACACUGUUUUUCUAAUUUAUAAAUCACUGUUAAUUUUUGUGUUUCAAUUCUUAUGGCUAACAUAGUAUAUAAUUAUUAAAUAGGGGCUUCUUACUUUAGUCUUCUCUCACAGACUUCCUCUGGUCAGGUAGAAAGUACACUUACUACUCAAUUUAGACUUAACCACUAAUUUUGGAAAACGACUAUAGCAUUUAUGUUGAGCUUCCGCUGUCCAAUCUUUAUGACUAUCUAAUGCUUUAUGACUGGGGUUAGAAUAAUACUAACUCAUUUAACUCUGAAGAUUUAGUUGUAGAGGACCUUAAAGCUCUAUCAUCUUGUCAGGCAUGCAACUGUCAACACGUUUAACCACUUAUGAUUCACACCUUUAUUCAGCAAAUAUUAUGGGCCAUCUGUGAUUACUUUGAGCAUCUAUUAUGUGCCAGUCUAUGUUCUUAUCUCUGGAAGAUUCAGCAAGGAGCAAAUUUGACAAACUCCCAGUUUCAGGAAAUGUACAUGCAAUGAAAUAGUAUGAUAAAUAAGUUCACAGGAUAAUUUCAGACAGCAAUAAGUGCUGUGAAGAAAAUACAAGACAAUCGUGUGAUAAAAUGUGAUAGAGGAGUAGGAAGAUGAGGUCUACUUUGGGUCAAAUUGGAGCCAGGACCAAAAUGACACCACUGAAGAUUUGGAGAAAAGAACAUUCCAGAGGAACUUGGGAGUUGAGUUUAUGACAGAUUUUUCUCUUAACUUUGGAACUAAGAUGAAGAGGAGGAGGAUGGUGGUGGUGAUGAUAAUGGUGGUAUUAAGAUGAUUUUUUGAGGGUUUCUUGGGUGUCAUAGUCAACACUGGAGAAAUUGCGUAAUCUCCAUGUUGCAGAUACACUGAAGCCUGUGCACCUGAUUCCUGAUUCACACAGGAGGUGUUAGGGCUGCCCACACAGUAUUCCCAAAGCCAGAGCUACCAGGGUUAGUACCACAAUCUUUUUUCUUCUUUGCUUGCUCAUCUUUCCAACUUCUCAACUUCAUAUAAUGAGCUAGCAGCAAUCUUCCAUAACCUGUGAAAUCUUACACUUCCUGAACAGCAAAAAAUAAUUGAGGUAUGAAAACUAAAUUGUGUGAUACAUGCAUAACACUUGUGACAUUAUAACAGAUUUGUACUCAAGUUGUAUUUGAAAUUAUUUAUUCACUGCAUUCAUGUCAUUUUCCAAAACAGAGACAAAGUUCUUGAAUUUCUUUUCAGAUAAUUUUUUAGUUGCAUUCUUAUUUUCCUUCUCCAUUUUUUUAUUCUUCAUUCCCUCACCUUCUUCAUCAGUAGAAUAAAAUGCUUCUCAUUGUCCAGUGAAUACAUGUAGCAAAAACCUUGCAAUGUGUCUAACACAUCUAUGUGAUUUUAGCAUCAAUCUUUCUUUUUAUCUGUAUCAGAUACAGUUCAAAAUGUUAAUAAAAUCUCUGUACAUUUAAGUGUGACACUGUAAUGAUUAAGGUAUAUAUUCAACUUUUUUAUAAGUAAGGCACAUAUUGAAGAUGGCAGCAAUUGAGAGCACGGAAUGAUGUAAGUGUACAUAAUUUAGAAAAGAAUAGUAUUUUCAAUUUUGAAUCAUAUUUUCUGAUAAAGAAAUAUGAAGGAAAAAAGUAGUACCUUAUCAUUUCAAAUGACACUAAAAUAUUUUGGCUUUAUUAACAGACAUAAAUUGUGAAGGUUUACCAAUACAAUUGGAAUGCUUUUAUAUAAUUAGAGAAUUCCAAAAAGGAUUUAGAAAUAGCUCAUAAAUCUACCAUAUGUCAACAGCACUUUAAUAAAUUCCUCCUGACUAUGAAUAAAAAUUUGAAAUCCUGUUGCCUAUUUGCUUUUUCUAUCAUAUUCACUCAACAAAGAGAGGUUGGAAAACUCAGAUUUAUCGUCAUACGUCAUAAAAGUCACUGCAAAAAAUGAUUAAAAAUAUACUUAUUAAAGAUUUGCAGUGAGGCAGCAUUUAAUAGAAUGUUUUCCUUUAAUUAUGCUAACUGUUGUCAAAAGACAAGACUCAAAACUGGGACGCCUAAUGUUUAACUAAGAUUACAUCCAGUGACCUGGAAUUCUGCCAGGAGUUUUUUCCUAGGGGUCCAUACAUUGUGGAAUUCCAAGGUACCACCCCAAAUAAUAGAGUUUGAUUAGUCUGUAGAUAAAUGAGCAGUUCUCACACUUCCAAGUAGUGCCAGUCUCAUCUCACCAGUGCCUGUUGUUGCAUUUUCCAUGAGUUUUACUUCAGUGCUUUUCCUCCAUGUUCAGACAGAUGCAGAAUAAUAAUUUACACAUACUCAAAGUAAAAUACCAACACUUCAACUCCUCUGCCCCCUCCCCUUUUUGCCAUCAAACUAGCAAAGACUAAAAACUAUGUUAAUACCCAUUUGGGUGAGAGUAGGGCAAAAGUUCACUCAGGCAUUGCUGAAGGGAAUGUAAUUUGAUGUGAUUGCUCUGAAAAGCUAUUAAGUAUAUGCAUAUAAGAAGAUCCUUAAUAAAGAUAUUUACUUAGCUUCUGUUAUUCUACGUUGGGGAAUCUAUCCAAAGAAAAUAAUCCAAAAUGUAAUCAUAUUAUGCCUAAAGCAGCUAAUGGAUAUAUUUUAUGUACUCAUUAUUAGGAGGAGACAUCUCAAAUAUCCAACAAUAAGAGAAUGAUGGAACAGAUCAUGAAAUUCCCAUACAGUGGUUUACUGUGCGACCAUUAAAAUUUAUUCUUGUUCAUUUAUUUAAUGGCAUGGAUAAUUAUUGAUAUAAUAAAACAAGAUACAAAAUUUCCUGUAUAAUUUCAGCUAUGGAAAAUAGAAUAAUUACAUAAGAAACUUCUUAAAUAUAAAUAAUAUUUCCCUCUACCUUUUUGGGGUUUUUUUUUUUUUGGUACUUAUCAAAGUUUCAGUGGUGAGCUAGUUAGUAAUAAUCUUAUGAUCAGAAAAAUAUUAAAGGAAAAUUACAAUAGACUUGGGGAAAAAUGAUUACCAAGCUUUUGUCCCUAGACUUACUCAGGAUUCAGUUGUUCUAGCCUCUCUUCAGAUUUAAAAUUUCUUUGACUUUUCUUACAAGAAUCCAGCCUGUAGAGUCUUGAAAGUCACCUUUUUCCCUUUCUGACAUCUGUUUCAUAAAGAGAAUGACUUUACUCAGUGAUAAUUGAAUUUCCCUCUUUAUAGUCAAUUUAUAGAUUUCCAUUUCAGAUGGUGGUUUAUUUAAAACACCAUCUUUUCGAUGUUAAUAUUAUCCUCAGUUCACAUGGAAAUAGAGGUGACACAAAGCUUAAGUAAACAGAUUGGUCAUAAACUCUUGCAUCGUCUCAGAUCAACUCCUUAGUCUUUGUAUUACCAAAAGCAGUUUAAAAAGACAAGGGCUAAUUAUAGUAAUGAGAUUUUUUUUGUUACGCACAUAUACAAAACAACUUAAUGUAGGAUACAAAAUUAUUGAGUAUUUCAUAUCUAAAAACAUGUGAAUGGGAAAUCUCUCUGCAUUUUCCAUCGUCAACCACUUGAAAGGCAAAAGAGUAGAAUUAUUUUUGUUAAAUGUAUAGAUUCAUUAAUAAAGUUUAUGUUCAUUGCUAACAUAGAAAGAAAUCUGGGAACACUGAGGCACUGGGUACAAUCUGUGUCUUUGUUUUUCUCUACAAGAUCUAAUUGAAAGAAGGUAUUAGAGAGGACAUAGCAGAGAGCCUUUCUCCAGUUGUUACAGCAGUAAAUAUCCCUUAAGAAACUUCAAAAGCAAUGCAUGCUUGUUUGAGGAAGAAGAAAGCAAAAGGCUGUUCAGUAAUAAGCCAGGGAAAAAAGAAAACCUUGUCUGAGAGAAAAAGGACGUGACUAUAAAGAGGGAAGCAUAUAAUCUACCAGACACUCUGAGGCUUCUCAAAUCAAAAUCUAGAUUCACUUUAUGAUGCAAACCCAAGGUAACUAGAAACUGUAUUUUUAAAACUUGUACUAUUUUGCUUCAUCUUUUUUUUAAUCCAGAACAAUUAUGACUAUAUGACUGUGAUACAAAUUGAUAGAGCUUAGUUAUGGGUGUUCAGGUACUGGAAAUUUCUAUAUUUAUGAAAUAUAAUUUUUAAAAAUGUUUGAGGGCAUAUCUACAGAUGCAAUAAAAAGCCAACAAUGUCUUUUUUCACUUCAUUUUCUCCUCGCCUGAAAACUCUGCCUUGCCUUCCAGCUAUGAGAUAUUUACUUGUCUGAGAUCCUGUAAUGGAAAUAGAUUUUUGUGUAGUGAUCCUGAGCCUCUCAUGACUUAAAAUUGUAUUUCUGAGGGAAAUCGCCAGAUUUUGAGCCUAUAGAUAAACAAUUUGUAAAUGGGCUACUUGACAUAUUCAUUGUAUUGGAGUUGUCCACCUAAUAAACUUAAGAAGUAGCUCUUAGGGAGUGGAAAGAAGAUUGUUUUUAGAAUCUGGGAUCCUGUUUCGAUGUUGACUUUACCUUGAGCAAGCCCUUUCAUCACCUUCAAAUUUUUUCAUUGAUUUAUGGAAUAAAUGUCUUCAAAGUAUCGUCUAAAUCCAGUGUUCUAGAACAACGAUACACUGAUUUUCAAGUUUACAGAAUGUUGUAAACUGGAGGAGGGGUGCGGUGGGAGAAAUUUUCUUCCUAUAACUCAGAUCUUCCUAACUCAUUUUCGGGUGUAAACACACUGACUGCUUCUGGUGUAAUGUGGAUUUAUGCUUCUUGCUGUACAAUGCUUAGGCAGUGCAGAUAUGUAAAUCCCUGGCAUUGAAAAAGAAGUAGGAAAGUUGGUCAUCUUUACGCCCUGGAAAAAUCUUGUGUUCCAUGGAAGAGAAAUGUUAAGAAGCAGAGAGAAGAACUGCAAAGAAAACAAACUGCUAUGGACACAGAGAGGAUUAGGACCAUGCACUGAUUCUUUUCUUAUGGAAUAAGUUACAGUCUUAACUCCUUCCUUAUCCAAAACUUGAAUGCAAAUUUUCCAUUUUAAAUAGAUCUCCCAUUUUAAUGAUAAACUCAGGGGAAAUUCUGGCAGCUGCAGAGGAUGCCGGCAAAUUAUUAUCACCAUGUAGGAAAUUAGAGAAUAUUUUUUCCAGGAGCCCUUCCUGGUGAAUCUAGCAUAGAACAAGCUUGAAUCAACCAAAUCCUGCAUAGUAUGAUUCCAUUUUUAUGAAAUGUCCUAAAUAAGCAAAUCUGUAGAGACAGAAAGAAAGUAGAUUAGAGGUUGGGGGGAAAUGGGGAGUGACUGCUAAUGGAUUUGGUGUUUCUUUAUUAGAUGUGAUAAAAAUGUUCUAAAAUUUAUUGUGGUGAAUCAAUUUAGUGUGACUAUACUAAAACCACUGAAACGUACACUUAUGUGGGUGAAUUAUAUGAUAAAAGUGUUAAAAGGAAAAACAUUGUAGUUCUGAGUUUUAAUUGGAAAUAUUAGUAUUAAUUUAUGAGAUAUUUUAUCUUAAAAUAUUAAUAUUCAUUAAUGUGGGUAUAUGUGUAUUUGGAUAACACAUACACACACACACACAUUUUUAGGCCUGAAGGAGUCUAAAAACAAUGAUGACUUCAGUGGUCGCGAGCAUCUCCAGCACCCAGAUUCAGUUUUGAAUUCCUGUUUCUUACUAAUCAGGGCUUCCUGCAGAAAUGGCUGAAAUACAAAAUGUACAAGACUAGUCUGAAACAUCUCAUUAAACCGGAUAACAAAGACUACUGAUGUAAUGUAAUGUCAGAAGAACUUAAGAGCCAACUUAAAAAGGCUUCCCCUGACUGACAAAUAGGAGAAUUUUGUUUUAGUAAAACUAAGAAAUGUCACAUUGAAACCCAUUAGGUAUGUUUAAAUAGAUGAGUUCAUAAUGAUAUUAAAAAACAAAAAGAAUUGAUCACCUGCAAAGCAGUGAUGAAGCAAUUUAGACCUUGAAAAUCGAUAGAGAGAAAGAAAGCAUUUAUCUUGCCCUCUCUAUAUGAACUGUAUCACUGGUAACCAAGUAGUAGAUAAGCCAAGUGUCUCUUAAUAAAAUUAUUUCUGUUAAUAAAUGAAUGUAAAAUGAUCAAAGUAGAAAAUCACCCAUUUUUACAAACCCUGAGGAAUUAAUGAAUCUAGGCCAUGAUCAUCAACAGCUGCUAAUUUCUCAAAAGGAGAGCAAACUACGCAUGUGCCUCCUGAUAAAAGAACAUAUCACCUUGAUUCUUGCCAAAGGGAUCAAGUCUCUGAAUCCAGCUUCCAAUCUGUCAAAAAUACAGAGGAAAAAAUGUGUUGAACUACACUACACAUGCAUGUGCAUAAUGUGGCUGCUGUUGUUCAAAUAAUUCAAAUUUGCCCUGGUAAAUUAUAAGGAAAAGAAAGGGGAAAAGGGAGAAUUGUGGUUUAAAACAGGCAUAAAAGUGGUAGUAUUUUGUUUUUUUGUUUUUUAAUGUUUAUUUUAUUUUUGAGAGAGAGAGAGAGAGCAUAAGUGGGGGAGGAGCAUAGAGAGAGAGAGAGGGAGACACAGGAUCUGAAGCAGGCUCCAGGCUCUGAGCUGUCAGCACAGAGCCAGACAUGGGGCUUGAACCAAUGAACCAUGAGAUCAUGACCUGAGCCAGAGACAGAGGUUUAACCGACUGAACCACCCAGGCGCCCCAAAAGUUGUAGUUUGUUUUUUAAGUCUAAGGGUGAACAGUUGGUUGAUUAAUAGAAGGGAAUAAGUGCCAGGAUAUGGUUAGUUGGAGAGAAGGAAGGAGCUGUCUCAGCUGGGACACACAGGGGCCUCUGAUGGGGCUGGCAAAACUGGUUUCUUGACCUGGAUGGUAAUUACUAGGAUAUGUGCCUUAUGAUACUACACUAGGCAGUACAUGUUGUAUAUGUGUGUGUUGGGGAAGGGGGUGUCUGUAUCUCUGUGCAUCUUUAGAAUUUAAGUUUUAAAAUAAAUUAACAGCAAAAAAAUUUCCCAGAAGGGAAUUCAAGCUUGGGUGGAAUCAAUUUUGGAUCUUGGGAUCUAUUUUGGAUCUUGGGAUCUUCUCUCUAAAGGAAUGUUUAAUGUAUUUGAGUUAACUUGAUACAUACAAAUUACAGAUUAUAUAUCAGAUAUAAAGCAAGCAUAAUUCAAAUAUACAGUAUAUAUAUAAAUAUUCUACAUGUCUUAAAAUGCUGGCUGAAGAGGUAUUUUGGUAAAUGGCAUUCAUCUUUUUACUUUAUAAAAUAGAUCAUCCAAAUAACUUGAAACAGUUUACCACCUAGGUGUGGUAGUAAAUUCUCAAGUUAUAAACAGCUGUAUACUUAAUAGCAUAUAUGGUGAUUAACAUUUAUUAUAUGGAGAACAAUAAGCAAUCCUUUCAUUAAUUCAGUCUUGUCUUACAACACAUGUUGAAUUUUGUUCAGAGUUAACUCUGAAACUUGGUUUCAGUAGCAUGGAGUAAUGGUCAAUCCUAGACUCGAGCAUCAGACUUGGGCAUUCAAAUCACAGAUCUACCUUUUCAUAGCUGUGUGUGAACAUAAUGAGGGAUGUUAACCUUUCCCACCCUCUGAAGCUUCUUUAAAGGCUUAAGCGACUUAGAUGUAGACACGCAGAAAAGUCACGGGAGUAUACCGAAUGCUAUAUAAGCAUCAGCUAUUAUUAUUAUUACUUGGCCAAAAUCAUUUAUGCAGUUCAGUCUUUGGGAAGUUAUAUGGCUGAAAACCUACUUAAAUAUCCUCAUUCCUGGCAUCCCUGAACUUGGGCAUUCCCACUAAAUGAUUGUGUUUUCACAGAGGUUGUCAUCCUAGUGUGGACAGUAAUAAAAGAAAGAAGGCAAGAAAUGAAAGAAGGAAAGAAAUGAAAGAAAGAAACUCAUGGGGAGAAAAGGAUUUGCCUCAAAAUAUUUGAUUUGUGGUCCACGUUACUGAAAUGCAUGUGGUCUGUCAUUAUAAUUAGUUGUGUGAUUACUU